AGUGAACGCUGGCGGUAGGCCUAACACAUGCAAGUCGAACGGCAGCACAGUAAGAGCUUGCUCUUACGGGUGGCGAGUGGCGGACGGGUGAGGAAUACAUCGGAAUCUACUUUUUCGUGGGGGAUAACGUAGGGAAACUUACGCUAAUACCGCAUACGACCUACGGGUGAAAGCAGGGGAUCUUCUGACCUUGCGCGAUUGAAUGAGCCGAUGUCGGAUUAGCUAGUUGGCGGGGUAAAGGCCCACCAAGGCGACGAUCCGUAGCUGGUCUGAGAGGAUGAUCAGCCACACUGGAACUGAGACACGGUCCAGACUCCUACGGGAGGCAGCAGUGGGGAAUAUUGGACAAUGGGCGCAAGCCUGAUCCAGCCAUACCGCGUGGGUGAAGAAGGACUUCGGGUUGUAAAGCCCUUUUGUUGGGAAAGAAAAGAAGCAGGUUAAUACCCCGCUGUUCUGACGGUACCCAAAGAAUAAGCACCGGCUAACUUCGUG
rnacentral:rRNA from 1 species